rnacentral:rRNA from 1 species
GAUGAACGCUGGCGGCGUGCCUAAUACAUGCAAGUCGAGCGAAUGGAUUAAGAGCUUGCUCUUAUGAAGUUAGCGGCGGACGGGUGAGUAACACGUGGGUAACCUGCCCAUAAGACUGGGAUAACUCCGGGAAACCGGGGCUAAUACCGGAUAACAUUUUGAACCGCAUGGUUCGAAAUUGAAAGGCGGCUUCGGCUGUCACUUAUGGAUGGACCCGCGUCGCAUUAGCUAGUUGGUGAGGUAACGGCUCACCAAGGCAACGAUGCGUAGCCGACCUGGGAGGGUGAUCGGCCACACUGGGACUGAGACACGGCGCAGACUCCUACGGGAGGCAGCAGUAGGGAAUCGUCCGCAAUGGGCGAAAGUCUGACGGAGCAACGCCGCGUGAGUGAUGAAGGCUUUCGGGUCGUAAAACUCUGUUGUUAGGGAAGAACAAGUGCUAGUUGAAUAAGCUGACACCUUGACGGUACCUAACCAGAAAGCCACGGCUAACUACGUGCCAGCCGCCGCCGUAA